GAACAGCUAUUGAUGGUCUUGCUACUUGGAUAACCGUAGUAACUCUAGAGCUAAUACAUGCAUCAAUCCCUGACUUCCUGGAAGGGGUGUACUUAUUAGAUGGAAACCAGUGCGGGUUCGCCCGGAUUAUGGUGAUUCAUAAUAAUUUUCGGAUCGAUCAAUUGAUCGAUGCAUCAUUCAAGUUUCUGCCCUAUCAGCUUUGGAUGGUAGGGUAUUGGCCUACCAUGGCAUUAACGGGUAACGGAGAAUUAGGGUUCGAUUCCGGAGAGGGCGCCUGAGAAACGGCGACCAAUUCCAAGGAAGGCAGCAGGCGCGUAAAUUACCCAAUCCUGACACAGGGAGGUAGUGACAAUAAAUAACAAUGUCGGGCCUUCGGGUUUGACAAUUGGAAUGAGAACAAUUUAAAUCCCUUAUCGAGGAUCAAUUGGAGGGCAAGUCUGGUGCCAGCAGCCGCGGUAAUUCCAGCUCCAAUAGCGUAUACUAAAGUUGUUGCAGUUAAAAAGCUCGUAGUUGAAUUUCUGGUUUCGGCGUGCGGUCUGCCCCGUGGGGUAAGUAUCAGCGCACGGGAGCCAUCCUCGAGGAGAACAUGCCUGUGAUUGAGUUCAUGGGUAUGGGAGCCUCGUCUUUUACUGUGAGCAAACUAGAGUGUUCAAAGCAGGCUUACGCCGUUGAAUACAUUAGCAUGGAAUAAUAAAAUAGGACUCUGGUCUAUUUUGUUGGUUAGUACUCCAGGGUAAUGAUUAAUAGGGACAGUUGGGGGUAUUCGUAUUCAAUUGUCAGAGGUGAAAUUCUUGGAUUUAUGGAAGACGAACUACUGCGAAAGCAUUUACCAAGGAUGUUUUCAUUAAUCAAGAACGAAAGUUAGGGGAUCGAAGAUGAUUAGAUACCAUCGUAGUCUUAACCAUAAACUAUGCCGACUAGGGAUUGGUGGUUGUUUAUUUUGACUCCAUCAGCACCUUAUGAGAAAUCAAAGUCUUUGGGUUUCCGGGGGGGAGUAUGGGUCGCAAGGCUGAAACUUAAAGAAUUGACGGAAGGGCAAUCACAGGAGUGAGCUGCGCCUUAAUUUGACUCACACGGAAACUACAGUCAGACUAUGAGGAUGACGAAUGAAGCUCUUUUCCUGAUUCUAUGAUGGUGAUC
rnacentral:rRNA from 1 species